CGCCGGGGGCCGACCUGCCGGCUCCUCCCCCCGCCGCCCAGCGAGCAUAAAGCCCCGCGCUCGCCCGCGCGCCCAGGCGCCCGCGGAGGCGGCGGCGCCCGGACCCCACUCCCGUUGGGCUCCCGGGUCCUCGAGGGCAAGAGAGACCCCGAAUCCCGAGGCGGGCCGGGACCUGGGCGCGGCCGCACCCCACACCCACCCUGGCUCGGGGGCCGGGCCGCGGGAACGCCCUCCCGGAAUGAAGCGCUUCCCGGUGCCUUCAAGGUAGCUCGGUUCCGGAUCGGGGACCUCCCCAGUCCUCCCUCUCAGGUCCCUGCUCUCCUGAAUCUAAGAGGUCCCCAAUCUCUCUGGGUCGGGCGGGAGAUAGCCCCCCAAUCCUCUCACGUUCCAACUGGCGAGGAUCCCUCCAUUCUCCCAGUCGGAGCGAUUAUCGCCCUCCGAGCCCCCAAUUUCCUCUGAACCUAAUUGAGGGGUCCCUUUCAUUGGCCCUCAGUCCACUCCCAGUGUCCCAUGUCCCCCAUAUGCAAUGUGGGAACCCCUCUCAGUGCCUCGCGUCCCGAGCGGGAAGCCUCCACCAGCACCCACUAGAAACCGUGUCAGUUCUCCUCAACCCUUUCGGUCUCCGAGUGAGAAUUCCCCUCAGGUCCCCCAAACCCCUUCGUCCAGAGUCGAAGAAAACUCCCAGCCCCGAGCUCGGGUCUUUAGUUUGCCGUGCCCCGCGGCCCCCCACCCCCCACCCUCGGGUGUGAGGCGUCGCCACUGUUUCCCUCUCUCCCUGGCUCACUCUUGUCAGCCCUACUCGGACUUCUGUCUAGAUUCGGGAACGCCGGUUCCAGAGUCUCCCCGUCCACUCCCCACGGAAGCUGUAAGAAAGAGUUCUAACCCCACCCCAUCGGAUUGGAAGUACCUAAGCUGCCGGCCCACUGUGUUUGGAAUGACUUCUCUCAGUCCAUCUCAAUUUAGACCACUCCCCAUGGAGGCAAAUGCCUUCCCGGCUUCCUUCUCCCCCCCACCCUGGCUUCUAGGUCUCUGAGAUCCUCCAGUGUUUUCGCCCCAGGCUCCUGGGAACCAUCUCACCCACCCCCUUAAACUCCCUCCCUCUAGCCUGGGAACCCGGAGGAAGCCCAUCCUGGAUCACCUCUGGAUCAAGAGUACUCUCUCUCCCUGUCUCCCCUUCUCCAAAUCCAUGUCCCCGCCUCAAUCCCCUGGCUGAAAUCAGCCAAGAAACUGUCAAAGCCAAAGGCUGAGGCAGCCAGCCACUCCUGCUCAAAUCCCUAACCCUGCUGGGGGUCUCAGUGCCACAUAAGCCACUCCCGCCCAAUUGCCUCCCACUCCUUCCCCCACCCACCUUCAAUCUAGCCAGUGUAACCCAGUGACAGUCCUUGAUGACAAGUUCCUUGCCCACCUUGACCUCCAUUCUCAAGUCACCCACCUUUUUAUUAAUGUGUGCUAGAGCUCUGGGCAACACAACCCUGACCUCUGUAAGGGUGCCCAUCCCCCUCCUCUUAGUACACCUCCCCUGCCCCCACCCCAACUACCUCUGGGAUAAGAACAUGAGAGACUCAAGUUAAUGGUUUCCUCUGGGACCUUCUGGGAACACUCAGCAGGUAUAUCCUGCCACCCUGUAUGCAUGACACUAGAAACAACUUGCUUUUUCCUGUUUUUUGUUUGUUGGUUGGUUUGUUUGUUUGUUUGUUUGUUUAUCAU
rnacentral:lncRNA from 1 species